AUACGGAGGGUCCGAGCGUUAUCCGGAUUUAUUGGGUUUAAAGGGUGCGUAGGCGGUUUUAUAAGUCAGCGGUGAAAUUUUCCGGCUCAACCGGGAUACUGCCGUUGAUACUGUAAGGCUAGGAUAUGGUUGCUGUGGGUGGAAUGUGUGGUGUAGCGGUGAAAUGCGUAGAGAUCGGGAGGAACACCAGUGGCGAAGGCGGCCUACUGGGCUUUAACUGACGCUGAGGCACGAAAGUGUGGGUAGC
rnacentral:rRNA from 1 species